UGAAGCGGCAACAGCUCAAAUUUGAAAUCUGGCUCCUUUGGCGCCCGAGUUGUAAUUUGUAGAGGAUGCUUCGGGUGAAGCCGCGGUCCAAGUCCCUUGGAACAGGACGUCAUAGAGGGUGAGAACCCCGUACCUGGCCGCCGGUGCCCCCCGCUGUGAAGCUCCUUCGACGAGUCGAGUUGUUUGGGAAUGCAGCUCUAAAUUGGUGGUAAAUUCCAUCUAAAGCUAAAUACCGGCCAGAGACCGAUAGCGCACAAGUAGAGUGAUCGAAAGAUGAAAAGCACUUUGAAAAGAGAGUUAAAAAGUACGUGAAAUUGUUGAAAGGGAAGCGCUUGCGGCCAGACUUGCCCGCGGAUGCUCAGCCUGCCUUUUGGCGGGUGCACUCUUCCGCGGUCAGGCCAGCAUCGGUUUGGGCGGUUGGAUAAAGGCGCUGGGAACGUGGCCCCUCUCGGGGGGUGUUAUAGCCCAGCGUGCAAUGCGACCAGCCCGGACCGAGGUUCGCGCUCUGCUAGGAUGCUGGCGUAAUGGCCGUAAGCGGCCCGUCUUGAAACACGGACCAAGGAGUCUAACAUCUAUGCGAGUGUUUGGGUGUCAAACCCGUGCGCGUAAUGAAAGUGAACGGAGGUGGGAACCUUAGGGUGCACCAUCGACCGAUCCUGAUGUCUUCGGAAGGAUUUGAGUAAGAGCAUAGCUGUUGGGACCCGAAAGAUGGUGAACUAUGCGUGAAUAGGGUGAAGCCAGAGGAAACUCUGGUGGAGGCUCGCAGCGGUUCUGACGUGCAAAU
rnacentral:rRNA from 1 species